rnacentral:lncRNA from 1 species
GGACCGGAUGAUAGGACAAUAGUCAAUAACAGGAGACCAAGAAGCAAAGACCACCUAUGCCACGGAAGAAACUUGCAAUGUAUGAAUAAGGAAAGUGGCAAUUGCAGGGAUUAUCCAGCCCAGGGUUCAAGGUGUCUAGGAAGACAUGAGACCUACGUCUGGGCAGGGGCUCCAGGGCCGCCUUUGAAACUCUCUCCAAUGCACACACACCCACUGUGAGCCUCUGGACACACUCCUGCCCCCAGGAAACUGAAACUCCCUGUGGAUACCAGGGCCCUCCUCCCAGAGGAAGAACAGUUGAGCUCCCUGAUGGAAGAAAGACAGUUCCAGAACACGUGACAGUGAGGACAAGAAUUUCAAGCCAGGGGGAAGACAUGAAGGAAGGACCGGACACCUGGAGGUGGAAAUCGCAGACAAGGGCUGAGCUGGAGGGGGCUUUGGGGUGACUGGAUCACAGAGGGUAGAAAGGGGUGAAGCAAGCCUGGGUCAUAAGUUGGGGCUCCUUCAAAGCAGCCACAGACCCAGGGGGAGAAGCUGUGGGCACAGCUAAGCCCCUCGUUUGGUUGGUGAACUCUGACCCUCCUGAGGCAAUCCUAGUAAUCAUAGCAGCAAUACGCAUUGCAUUUUCGGGGUGGGCCAGGCUGGGCACUACACACGUUCC